rnacentral:rRNA from 1 species
UACGAAGGGGGGCUAGCGUUGCUCGGAAUCACUGGGCGUAAAGCGCACGUAGGCGGACUCUUAAGUCAGGGGUGAAAUCCUGGAGCUCAACUCCAGAACUGCCUUUGAUACUGAAGAUCUUGAGUUCGGGAGAGGUGAGUGGAACUGCGAGUGUAGAGGUGAAAUUCGUAGAUAUUCGCAAGAACACCAGUGGCGAAGGCGGCUCACUGGCCCGAUACUGACGCUGAGGCACGAAAGCGUGGGGGAGCAA